ensembl:snRNA U6 U6 spliceosomal RNA
GUGCUCGCUUUGGCAGCACAUAUACUCAAGUUGGACUGAUGCAGGGAAGAUUAGCAUGGCCCCUGUGCAAGGAUGACACGCAAAUUCAUAAGGCAUUCUAAUUUUAA